GAGAGAGACAUGCGCGCAUAUCAAUAAGCGGAGGAAAAGAAACUAACAAGGAUUCCCUUAGUAACGGCGAGUGAAGCGGGAAGAGCUCAAAUUUGAAAUCUUCAAGGUUUUACCUUGACGAAUUGUAGUUUAAAGAAGUGUUUUCUGCUGAAGUUUUGGUAAAAGUUCUUUGGAAUAGGACAUCAUAGAGGGUGAGAAUCCCGUAUUUGACCAUUAUUUUCAGCUUUGUGAUACACUUUCAAAGAGUCGGAUUGUUUGGGAAUGCAGUCCAAAAUGGGUGGUAAAUUUCAUCUAAAGCUAAAUAUUGGCGAGAGACCGAUAGCGAACAAGUACCGUGAGGGAAAGAUGAAAAGAACUUUGAAAAGAGAGUUAAACAGUACGUGAAAUUGUCAGAAGGGAAGCGUUUGACACCAGUGUUGUUUUCUCGAAAAUCAAUUAUAAAAUGGCUCGAUUUUGUAUUGUUGAGACCUUAAAAGCUCACUGUACAUUUUUCGUGUCUUUUUUAAUGCACUUUUCGUUUAACAAGUCAACAUCAGUUUCUUUUGUUGUAAAAGGGUCAUUGGAAGGUGGCUUUCUUUUCGGAGAAAGUGUUUAUAGCCUUUGGCCUCUGCAAUCGGAAGAGACUGAGGUCUGCAGCGUAGACUCUUCGGGGUUAGAUACAUUUGUGCUAAGUUAUAGCUUCUUAUAGACAACUUGUUGACUAUAAUUAGUCUUGUAGCUUACUCGCUUAUGCUAUUUUACCUACGCUUAGGAUGUUGAAGAUGUAGCACAUCAU
rnacentral:rRNA from 1 species